AACGUAGGAGACAAACGUUAUCCGGAGUUACUGGGCGUAAAGGGCGUGUAGGCGGUUUGUUAAGUCUGGCGUGAAAGCUCUCGGCUAAACCGGGAGAGGUCGUUGGAUACUGGCAAACUAGAGGACGGUAGAGGCGUGUGGAGUUCCGGGUGUAGUGGUGAAAUGCGUAGAGAUCCGGAGGAACACCAGCGGCGAAGGCGGCGCUCUGGGCCGGUACUGACGCUGAGGAGCGAAAGCGUGGGUAGCAAACAGG
rnacentral:rRNA from 1 species